AUUGAACGCUAGCGGGAUGCUUUACACAUGCAAGUCGAACGAGGGGCGGACGGGUGAGUAAUCUAUCGGAACGUGCCCAGUAGGGGGGGAUAACUACUAGAAAGAGGGGCUAAUACCGCAUAAUAUUGGGACGGCCGAUAGCGGAUGAGCUAGUUGGGGGGGUAAGGGCUCACCAAGGCAAAGAUCCGUAGCUGGUUUGAGAGGACGACCAGCCACACUGGGACUGAGACACGGCCCAGACUCCUACGGGAGGCAGCAGGGGGGAAUAUUGGACAAUGGGGGAAACCCUGAUCCAGCCAUCCCGCGUGUAUGAGAAGGCCUUCGGGUUGUAAAGUACUUUUGGCAGAGAAGCGGUAUCUGCAGAAUAAGCACCGGCUAACUACGUGCCAGCAGCCGCGGUAAUAC
rnacentral:rRNA from 1 species